rnacentral:sRNA from 1 species
GACUUGCACCCACAGCGAGUACUUUUAGGUGACUGGGCGCCCCUAUUGUGUAAUCGCAUAAUUACUCUCUGUGGAUGCUUUGCCCUGUUAUGAGUUUCAAACCCCUUCUUAUCGUGUCAUCCCACGAAUCCCUUGCGGUUACCCUCUGAUUUUUGGCUCGCUGGGACAGCUGCCCUCUCAGUUGUGACCUGAGGCUCCGUGCCUUUUUCGAGGCCUUCAUGAGUACGAACUUCUCUCUGCCUCACAUUUCAGUUCUUGCAAACACCGAGAACCACCAGAUGCUCGGUGUCUCGAUUCCUUCCGGGACCCCACAAGGUUAUAUCAACGUUCAUCCGUACCAUCAAUAUCGGC